GGUGGGGAGAGAAGCAGCAGAGUCACUUCACCGACCAGACGCCGCGGCCACCGCCGACGCCGCCGCCAUUUUAACAGAGCGCUCGGGCUGCGCUCGGCUCUUUCCGCCCGGGCUUAGGAGCGGCCGAGAGGCGCCGCGCGCUCUCAUUCCUCCGCCUCCCUCCCUCCCUCGCCUCUUCUCCGCCCCCCACCUCUCCCUCCGCACACACGCUGCACGCUCCACACCCCGCCGUGACUGGCUCGCCGCCCUCCCUUUCCUCUUCCGUCCGGCCUCCCCGCCCUCGGUCCACCCCCUCCGCGCGCUCGCCCACCCCGCCCAGCCCGGAUCUCUGUCAGCGGCCGGAAGGGAAACGCGAAGCCAGCGCGGCCGCGGGGGGAGUCCGGCGGUUGAAACCAACCAUCAUGGUGAUCUGACUUCUCUAGGGCUGGCCAUACAUUAUUUGAGCUCUUCCUGAUGAAAGUGAGCUGAGAUUCUGCCAUUGCAUUCCAGCCUGGGCAACGAGCAAAAAAAAAUCCAUCUCAAAAAAAAGAAAAAAAAAAAAUGAUAAAACAGAAUCAUAAUGUGUGGAUCCCUGAUGCAUCUGAACAGCAGUCUAUGCCCAGACUGCUUAUGUGAGAAAAAUAAAACUUAUUUUUCUUGGCUGA